CCAGAGGCCUGUACUACGAAGCUGGAUUUGGUCUUAGCGAGAUAACUUCUGGAUAACUUCUGGGUUUUCUGUACUACGAAGGUGGAUCUCUUUUUAUCCGGGUCCGUUGCCCCGGUAACUUACGCGGAACGCCAAACCUGCUCCGGAGCAGGUUAUGUUUCAGGAUAAGAUCUCAGCAGGUAUAAAAGACCGCCCAAUGACCAAUCGGAUCUCUUGGAAAAUGGCUUGCCCACUUUUGCCGGAUCCCGGGGACAUCGUUGCACGGAUAGUGAGAGGAGCGCUUCGCCGAGAGCGUUAUAUUCAUGAUCGUUCAAAUCCAUUUGAUUUACCUGAUGACGUUCUCUAUAAACGUUACAGGUUUUCCU